ensembl:lncRNA
AUGGGUCCUGUUUGGAAACUUCUAACCGUUUUAAUUGGAUACAGCACCAGCUUGCCCGGAGCACAAGGAGCAUGUGUCCAUCAAGGCUCAUUGUUUGCGAACAAUACAUCAUGGAAACCAGACACCUGUCAAGACUGCAUCUGCUACAAUGAUAUUGUCACCUGCAAACCCACUCGCUGCCGAAAUCCCCAGUGUGACUUUCAGAGGGGUCAGCGCUUGAGAAUCCCGCCUAACAAGUGUUGUCCAGAAUGUUUUGCACAGUUGCCCGGGAUCUGUCAGCAUGAAGGAAUGGUUUAUGGGCAUGACAGUCAGUGGAGUAAUUCCAAAUGUUCGGUGUGCACAUGCUCUCAUGGGAAGGUGACCUGUGGGCCACGUGCCUGUCCUUCUCUUAGUUGUGGGAAAGACCAGAGUCCUUUCAUCCCAGACGGAGACUGCUGCCCUGUAUGUGCUCACAAUGGAGCCUCCUGCUCUUGGGAAGGCCGUCAGUACAGAGAUGGGGUGGAAUGGACAACCAGCCCCUGUACAAAGUGUCAAUGCAGAAACGGUCACACUGAAUGCCUGGUUGCAGAGUGUCAGCCUGUUACAUGCAAAGCGAAUGAGAACCUGGUUGUCCAGCCAGGACAGUGCUGUCCUCAGUGUGAGCCGGAUCCCUGCAUGGAGGCCGGGAAUGAGCACAAGCACGGCGAGCAGUGGCAGAGGGGCAGCUGUACCACCUGUGUGUGUGAUCGCGGUCAUUCUCGCUGUCAGACAGAGAAGUGCCCUCCUCUCCACUGUGAUAAGGGUCAGAUGAAGAUCAAGCGACCCGGACAGUGCUGCCAAGACUGUGUCUCGUCUAAAGGCAGCUGCCUCUAUGAGGGCAUUGUCCGUUACCAUGGCGAUAUGUGGAACGGCACAGGUUGUGAGUUCUGUAUGUGUGAACGGGGUCAGGUCCUGUGCCAAAGGGUCGAGUGCGCCAGAAUAGAGUGCCCACAGGGAGAAAAACUGGUCCAUUUGCCUGGGAAAUGCUGCCCAGAGUGUAAGACAACAACCAGUUCCUGUACAUAUUCACAGCCACAUCAAAAGGGGCAGAAAGCCAGCAUCAAGAGUUUCAGACGCCUCUCUAAUCUAGAGAGCAUCAGAGAGGGUCUGUGUCGCAUGUGCCAGUGUCAGGAGGGUCAUGUGACCUGUUACCAGCACUCCUGUCCCACCUGUCCAUUGGGCACCCUAACUAUACCUCACCCUGAGCAGUGCUGUCCGGACUGCAAUCCAGCAGUGCAGUGUCACGAGGACUGUUUGACAUGCUCUGGCACACCAGAUCACUGUGACAGCUGUCAGGACCCUUCUGCCCUGUUGAUGAAUGGACGCUGUCUGCAGUCAUGUCCUGAAGGCUUUUUCGCUCAGGGCAAAGUUUGUGCAGCCUGCCAGCCGUCAUGUGCCACCUGUGAGAAUGACUUUGAAUGCACAGCAUGUGGUGGGUCCUUUCUCCUCAGUGGCAGGCAAUGUGUGACCACCUGUGAGAGAGGUCUGUUCCAGGACCACACACGCUGUCUCAGUUGCCAUGACUCCUGUUCAUCUUGCCAGGGGGCGGGGCCUCAGGAUUGUUUGACAUGCUCAGACCCCUCUCACUUACUGAAGGAUGGAUUCUGUGUUCUGGAUUGUGGUCCAGGCUUUUAUGCUAAUCAAGGCAGCUGUUAUGCUUGUGACCCUUCCUGUGCAACCUGUCAACCCGACAGCCCCAGUUGCAUGAGCUGCCCCCCUGAACAUGCACUGCAUCAGGGGAAAUGUGUGCCACAAUGUCCACCACAGUAUUACAAGGAAGACCAUGGCCGUUGCCAAGCCUGCCACAGUUCGUGUGCAUCCUGCUCAGGGCCAGCUGUGUCUCACUGCACCUCCUGCUCAAAGUCUCUCAUCCUGAACCAAGGCCAGUGUGUGGAGUCCUGCGGAGAGGGCCUAUUCUCCAGAGGGGGACACUGUCACAGGUGUCAUGCGUCAUGUAGGCUCUGUGUGGGUCCGGAUUCCUCAGACUGCAUGCAGUGUGUCAAACACGAAGAGGUUCUGCAGCCUCAGAAUGGGCAUGUCUCUCACGGGUCCUGUAUGUCUGCCUGCAGGCCACAGCAUUACCUUGAUGCAGAUCAGACCUGCAGAGAAUGUCACAUCUCAUGUUCAGGCUGCUCUGGUGGAAGUUUCCAGAACUGUACUUCCUGUAUACGUCCCAGUGUCUUUCAUCAAGGGCAGUGUCUUGAUAAAUGUCCCCAUGGAUUCCAUGUUCAGGACCGUACUUGCAAAGCUUGUCAUCCAUCAUGUAAGGAGUGUAAGGGCCCAUCUCAGGCUGACUGUUCUGCUUGUCCGGCCCACGCCAGUCUGCAUAACGGCUACUGCCGAACCAGCUGUCCUGAGGGCCAGUACCUGAAUGCUGUAGGCUACUGCAUUGAGUGUGAGGAGGGAUGUCAGCGGUGUGUGGCAGACCUGCAGUCUGGCUUUGGCACUGUGUGUUUGUGGUGUAAGUCUCCCAGGAUGCUGCUGCUGGGAGAUCACUGUGUACCACAGUGCCCACCCAAAUACUACCGGUGGCACGGAGCUUGCAAAAAAUGUCACUCUUCCUGUGAGGAGUGCAGUGGGGAUGGUCCUCACUCCUGUACUUCCUGUCUGGCCCCUGAGGUUCUGGCCUCAUCAGGACUCUGCAGCUCUCGCUGUCCAUAUGGAUAUUACGCUGAUGAAAACAGGGUGUGCCAAAUGUGUGACACUCAGUGUCUGAGCUGUGAGAUGGCGGGUGUGUGUACGUCAUGUAGAGAUCCAGCUAAAGUGCUUCUGUUUGGGGAGUGUCAGUAUGAGAGCUGUGCUCAUCAGUACUACCUGAACACCACCACACGCACAUGCAGAGAGUGCGACUGGAGCUGUAACGCGUGCCGCGGACCCCUGCGUAGUGACUGUCUGCAGUGCAUGGAGGGAUACGUCCUGCAGGAUGGCAUUUGUGUGCCGGGUUGCUCGCCGGGAUUCUACCAGGAUGCUGAGAGAUGUCUGAGCUGUGAUGAGCAUUGCGAGCAGUGCCAGGUUCAUGGCCAAUGCCAACGCUGCCAGCUGCCAUAUGCCAUGUUGAAUGGGCAGUGUGUGCUGGAAUGCGGCAAGCGCUACUUUCUAGAUGCCUCGAUCCGUCAGUGCACCACAUGCUCAGCUGGAUGCUUGGAGUGUGUGAGUGCAGGUGAGUGCCGUGUCUGUGCUGAGAACUCCUUCCUGAAGGGUGGCCAGUGCAUCGUGGACUGUGGUCACGGAUACUAUGCUGACCGAAAAACAAGAGUCUGUCGUGCAAACAGCCGUGCUCCAUCUCUUUACAUCAAUGGCUCUCUGCUGGUUCCUAUUGGUGGAGUUAAGCCUCUGGAUGCAGCACUCCUGUCAAUCAAGGAUGCAGAUAGCCAAUCAGAAAGCAUGUUGCUCCAGCUCCUUCAGCCACCCAGUAACGGCCAUCUCGUGGUCCUGGAAAAUGACAGAGAGAGAGCACUGGGAAGAGACGACACUUUCACCUUGACUCAGCUCAAACGUAGAGCUGUGCGCUUUAUUCACGACAAAGAGCAGCCCAAAAGUGGGCAGUUCAUGUUAAGGGCAGCAGAUCCUCAGCUGUUCUCUCAGCCUCAGAGUGUUCCAGUGCAGGCGGUCUCCCAAACUGCAAUUUUUCUCUCCCUUGAUAAUCCACAAGACAUUUUCAUCACGGUUCUGGAUCCACCUGAACAUGGCCACCUGAAACACAAGCAUGGUGAUGUGCAGGUGACCCAUUUUAAACUGGAAGACCUGGAGCAUGAGCAGCUGCAGUAUGUACAUGACAGUUCAGAAGGAGACCAGGACAGACUUCUGCUGCAGGUCAAUGAUGGGCACAGCUACCAGAACAUCCUGUUUCACAUCAGCAUUGCGCAAAAGGUUGGAUUGACUCCUCACCUGCGUUCAGUGCCCAGGACCUGGGUGAGGGAGGGAGGAAUGGUGCAGCUGUCUAAGAAGUGCCUCAAUGCUCAGUUCCAAGGAACCAGUGACUCUGAAAUCCUGUACACCAUCCAUUCUGAGAGUGGACAGCCCAGAUACGGAGAGAUUGUGCUGGUGUCUAUGCCUGCUGAUGGUCCUGUGGAGGCAUGGCAGUCCUUCCCAGAUGCUCAGAACACCACACCAACCAGCUCAUUUACGCAGCAAGAUGUUAAUGAAGGGACUGUCUGGUACAGACACUAUGGAUCCGGAUCACAGAGAGACACUUUUCAGUUUCAGGUUUCAAGUGAGGUCUAUCCAGAGCCUCUGAGUGAUACGCAGACCUUCACUAUAGGAGUGAUGCCUCAGACCCCUGGCCUGCCUCAGCUCUCACCUGGAGCCGACCUGCAGAUCACUGCACUGGAAGAUCGCGUGACUGUGAUAUCUCCUUCUGCUCUCUCCUUCACUGACUCGGAGACACCCAGCAACAAGCUUGUCUACAACAUCACCAAAGUGCUUACCUCAGGCCACGGUACGCUGGAGCACAGGGACAGACCUUACCAUCAUGUGCGUCUCUUCACACAGGCUGAUGUAGACAGUGGCAAAAUUAUCUACAGACCCCCACAAGCCCCGUCCCACCUUCAGGAGCUUUAUCAGUACUCAUUUACAGGUCUACCAGAGUCAGUGAGCCUCCAUUUCACAGUUUCUGAUGGAGAGCACACCACUCCAGAGAUGGACUUUGCUAUUCUGCUGCUGGCCAAUCAUCAGCAGCCCCCGGUCUUUCAGAUUCUGGAUCCGGUGCUGGAGGUCAGUCUCGGUGGCAGGGCACCAGUGGGUGGGCAACAGUUAGCAGUGACGGAUGCUGAUACGGCCCCUGAAGAUCUAGAGUUUGAAUUGGUGGAGGGGCCGCUACACGGGGCCCUCCUGAGAGUGGACCUUGGUUCCCAGGUCCAGAUGGUUAACGGGGACACCUUCACCUCCAGUGACGUCACCAGGAAUGUUCUGCAGUACGAGCAUGCGGGUCUCACCACUGAGGAGGACUCCAUGACUUUCUCUGUGACUGACGGGAUCUCCUUGACCUCCAUCACAUUGCAGGUCUUGGUGUCAGAGGUCAAAGGUGACGCACCUAAACGUGACCCUAAGGCCCUGCUGUCAAUGGAGGUGGCAGAGAAGAGCAGCACCAUCAUUAGACGUUCACAGUUAGCUUAUGUGGAUGUCGAAUCUCCCGAUGAGAAAGUUUUUGUGCAGUUAGUUUCUGUACCAAUGUAUGGGAUCCUUACCAAAACCAAGGCUGAAGCAGACAGUGAGGAGCUUAGUGAAUAUUCCUCCUUUACAAUGGAGGACAUCAACAACCACAAAAUCAGGUAUGUUACAUCCUUUGAAACAGGCAACCAGCCUGUCACUGACAUUUUCCACUUCGUUGUCUAUGAUGGUGAGAACAAUCGUCUGGAGAACCAGAUGUUCACUAUCACCAUCACGUCUGCCCAGAGGCAGCCACCUGUUGUCACUGUGCGCAGCGGCAUUAAGGUUCAAGAAGGAGGGAGGGUCCAGCUCUCAGCUAAUCACAUUAUUGCAUCUGACCCAGACACACCCAGAAAGGAUCUGCUGGUGUGGCUAAUCGGCCCACCAAAGUAUGGCUUUAUUGAGAACACAAAACAAGCGAUUGGUGGAUCUCGCGUGAUCAGCCCCGACGUCCCUUUCACUAUAGAAGACCUCACCUCAGACCACAUCUUCUAUGUUCAAAACAUCCGCCAAGCUAACAUCCGCCAGGAUGUCUUCAGCUUUUACAUCAGUGAUGGAUCAAGUCAAACUGAGGCUUUUGAUAUCACCAUAGACAUCCAGCACACCAAGGAAGACAGAGUCCCAGUUAUCUCAGUAAACAGCAUCCAAGUGGAGGAGAACUCCGGUGUGGUCAUCACUAACUCCUCCCUGAAUGUGCUGGACCAGGACACACCUGAAAAUGAGCUUCUCUUCACCCUCAUUAAGAAGCCAUCAUAUGGGAAGCUACGCAGAAGGCAGUUCUACUCUCAACCUUUAGAGAAUGGCAGGAUUCUUCAGCAAGGAUCCACCUUUACUUACCAGGAUGUUCUAGAUGAGCUGCUGGUCUACACCCCAGACGGACGUGGCUCUGGGACAGAUGAGAUCCAGUUUUCAGUAACAAAUGGCAUAUACACAGAGACCGGCCGUCUGGAGUUCAGCAUGGAUAUUAGGAAGCGAGAAGGCCCUAGAGUCACAGUCAACAGAGGACUACAGAUUGCAGCAGGUUCCUCAUCUAAGAUCACAGAGCAGCAUCUGAAAGGGACGGACGUAGAUUCAGAUAACCUUAAGCUGCGGUUCACCCUCACUAAAGACCCAAGCAUGGGCUCCCUGCUGCUGAAUACAGGCAGAAACAAGGCUCAGAUAUCCGUCAAAGGACCUGUCACCAGCUUCACCCAGGAUGAUAUCAACAAAGGUUUUUCCUCCUUUAAAAAGGUACAUCCUCAUCUUUUUUUUUCUCUCUCUCUCUCAGAGGACAGACUUCCUCCCACAGUAGUGGUUAAUAAGGGUUUGGUUAUGGAUGAGAACACCUUGAAGAAGAUCACAACACUGCAGCUGUCCUCUACAGAUCAGGACAGUGAACCAGAUGAACUCAUUUACAGAGUCACCAAACAGCCCCAGCUUGGCCAUCUAGAACAUUCCAGCAAACCAGGAACACGGAUCAGCACGUUUACCCAGGCUGACCUGGCCUCCCGCAACAUUCAGUAUAUUUCACAGACAUUCUAUAUCACCAUCCGGCCGGUGGACGACUCUCUGCCCGUCCUGCAGGUGCCAGGGAUGAGGGUGCAGGAAGGAGUGAGGAAGACCAUCACUGAGUUUGAGCUGAAGGCUACCGAUGCUGACACAGAGGAGGACUCUGUUACGUUUACUAUUGUUCAGGCUCCUCGUCACGGGACCAUUGAGCGCACAAGUAAUGGUCAGCAUUACCGUCAGACCAACACCUUCACUAUGGACGACAUCUAUCAGAACCGCAUCAGUUACAGCCAUGACGGCAGUAACUCCCUCAAAGACCGAUUCACCUUCACUGUCAGUGAUGGCACCAACAUGUUCUUCAUCAUCGAAGAGGGUGGAAAAGAGGUUGUCACCGCUGCUCCACAAAAGUUUAAAAUCGAUAUUUUACCUGUUGAUGACGGGACCCCUCGUAUUGUCACCAACCUGGGCCUGCAGUGGCUGGAGUACAUGGAAAAUAAGGCCACCAAUCUGAUCACCAAGAAAGAGCUUCUCACUAUUGAUCCAGACACAGAUGAUGGACAGCUGACUUAUGAAGUCACUACAGAAGCUAAACACGGCUACCUGGAGAGUAAACUCAAUCCUGGCAAACCUAUCACCUCUUUUACUCAAGCUGACAUAAACCUGGGCCUUAUCAGAUACGUUCUGAGUGAGGACAAUAUUCAAGAGACCAUGGACAACUUCAGGUUCCUUGUGAAGGACAGCAAACCCAACAUUGUCAGUGACAAUGUGUUUCACAUCCAGUGGUCUCUUAUCAGCUUUGAGCACAAGAGCUACAACGUGAGUGAAAAAGAUGGAACCGUGGCGGUCACAGUGAAGAGGACUGGGAAUCUGAACCAGUAUGCUAUUGUGCUGUGUCGUACCGAGCAAGGCACUGCCACCUCCACCUCCAGCAUGGGCUCUCGGGCCGGACAACAGGACUAUGUUGAGUAUGCUGGACAAGUUCAGUUUGAUGAGAGAGAAGAUACCAAGGUGUGCACCAUUGUGAUCAAUGAUGACCAGGUCUUUGAGAACAUUGAGAGCUUUAAAGUGGAGCUGAGUAUGCCAGUGUAUGCCCUGCUGGGGUCAGUGACCCGCGCUAAAGUCAAUAUCAAUGACACCGAGGAUGAACCCACCCUGCAGUUUGAUAAGAAGACCUACCAUGUCAAUGAGAGCAAAGGCUUUAUCUUUGCUCCUGUUGAAAGAAAGGGAGACACCAGCAGCACAGUCUCAGCCCUCUGCUACACUGUGCCUAAGUCAGCCCGGGGCAGCAGCCUGCACGCUCUCGAGUCCGGCUCUGACUAUAAGACCCGUGGCAUGAGCAGUGACAACAGAGUCAUCUUUGGCCCAGGUGUGAGCAUGUCUACCUGUGAUGUAAAGCUGAUUGAUGACAGCGAGUAUGAACUCUCUGAGGAGUUUGAGCUGGUGCUGUCAGAUGCCUCGGACAAUGCAAGGAUGGGUGAUGUCACUGUGGCUAAAGUCAUUAUAGAUGGGCCAAAUGAUGCCUCCACUGUCUUCCUGGGCAACGCGUCCUUCACCUUCAGUGAAGAUGCAGGCACCAUUGAAAUCCCUGUUCUGCGGCAGGGCAGUGACCUUUCCUCAGUAACCUCUGUGUGGUGUGCCACACGUCCUGCUGAACAAGAUUCAGCCACGCCCAGUGUUGACUACAUCCCGAGCUCCAAAAAGGUGGAGUUUAGACCAGGAAAGACCGAGGAGACAUGUAGUUUGACCAUAAUGGAUGACAUUCAGAACCCGACAAUCGAAGGGAAAGAAUCCUUCAUUGUGUUUCUUAGUUCUCCCAACGGAGCGGUCCUGACUGAACCAUAUGAAGCCUCUGUCUACAUCACUGACACCACUCAAGACAUACCUAGCAUGCAAUUUGAAAAGCUGGCGUAUACGGUGAAGGAAAAAGAUGGUGUCCUGCACAUCCCAAUUUUUAGGACAGGAGAUCUGUCCUAUAAGUCUUCUGUCCGUUGCUUCACACGCACAAUGUCUGCUGUGGUGAUGGAUGACUUUGAGGAGAGGAGAAAUGCUGAUGAUUCCAGAAUCACCUUCCGGAAAGGGGAAAAGGUAUGGUUUCUUUUUCCUCUUGGUUCUGAUUGCCCACAGGGGGACCACUGGAUUGGAGCCAUGAUUGGAGUCAACGACAUUGUGACUGUGACCAUCACAAAUGAUGAAGAUGCACCUACGAUCGAGUUUGAACAAGCCUUAUACCAAGUUCGUGAGCCCCCUGGUCCAGAUGGAAUUGAGGUUUUGAAUAUCAAGGUGAUCCGUAAAGGAGACCUUGACCGCACAUCCAAGAUCCGAUGCAGCACAAGGGAUGGAUCAGCCCAGUCAGGUGUAGACUAUAACCCCAAGAGUCGAGUCCUUAAGUUCAGCCCUGGUGUGGACCACAUCCUGUUUAAGGUAGAGAUCCUGUCCAGUGAAGAUAGAGAGUGGCAUGAAUCUUUCUCAUUGGUCCUUGGUCCAGAUGACCCUGUUGAAGCGGUGCUUGGAGAGAUAACCAUGGCAACAGUCACCAUCCUAGAUCAGGAAGCUGCAGGAAGUCUCAUCCUUCCAGCCCCACCCAUUGUGGUGUCUCUGUCAGACUAUGACUAUGUCCAGGAGGUCACUAAAGAGGGCAGUAAGAAAUCUCCAUCUCCUGGAUAUCCUCUGGUCUGUGUGACUCCCUGUGACCCCCAUUACCCCAAAUACUCAGUCAUGAGAGAACGCUGUGAGGAGGCUGGCAUCAACCAGACCUCCGUCCACUUCAGCUGGGAGGUUGCAACUCCCACAGACACCAGCGGAGCACGAUCACCCUUUGAGACAGUGACAGAUAACACACCUUACACAACAGUCAAUCACAUGGUUCUGGACAGUAUAUAUUUCAGCAGACGUUUCCAUGUGCGUUGCGUAGCUCAGGCCAGAGAUAAAGCCGGGCACCUAGGAACUCCACUGAGGAGCAACAUUGUCACUAUUGGCACUGAGGGAUCAAUAUGCCACACCCCCGUCACCACAGGAACCGCUCGAGGCUUUCAGGCCCAGUCCUUUAUUGCCACUCUAAAAUAUUUAGAUGUCAAACACAAAGAGAACCCAAACAGGAUCCAUAUCUCAGUGCAGAUCCCUCAUCAGGAUGGAAUGCUUCCACUGGUGUCCACCAUGCCUCUGCAUAACCUACACUUCCUGCUCUCCGAGUCUAUUUACCGUCAGCAGCACGUCUGCUCCAACCUGGUCACACUUAAAGACCUGCAUGGCAUAUCUGAAACUGGCUUCUUGGAUGAUGUGUCGUAUGACAGCAUAUCCCUAGGUCCCGGAUAUGACCGUCCAUACCAAUUCAACCCUAGUGUUCGAGAACCCAGAACCAUCCAGCUAUACGAGCAUCUCAAUCUGAAGAGCUGCAUAUGGACAUUUGAUGCGUACUAUGACAUGACCGAGCUUAUCGAUGUUUGUGGAGGAUCAGUAACUGCUGACUUUCAGGUCAGAGACUCGGCUCAGUCGUUCCUGACGGUGCAGGUGCCGCUCUACGUGUCCUAUAUCUAUGUGACGGCUCCUCGUGGAUGGGCCUCCCUAGAGCACCACACAGAGAUGGAGUUCUCCUUCUUCUAUGACACGGUCUUGUGGAGAACAGGCAUCCAGACAGACAGCGUACUGUCAGCUAGAUUACAGAUCAUUCGGAUCUUCAUUAGAGAGGAUGGACGAAUGGUGAUUGAGUUCAAAACCCACGCCAAGUUCAGAGGUCAAUUUGUCCCUGAACAUCACACCCUCCCUGGACAGAAAUCUCAUCUGAUGGCUCCAGAUCACUUGGGAGGCAUUGAAUUUGACCUGCAGCUGAUGUGGAGCGCACAGUCCUUUGAUUCACCCUACCAGCUCUGGAGAGCCACAAGCUCUUACAGCAGGAAAGACUACUCUGGGGAGUACACAGUCUUCCUCAUCCCAUGCACAGUACAGCCAACCCAGGCAUGGGUCGACUCUGGGGAUAAGCCUCUUUCCUGCACGGCCCAUGCUCCAGAGAAAUUCCUGCUCCCCAUCGCCUUCCAGCAGACGAACCGCCCUGUUCCUGUAGUCUACUCCCUGAAUACUGAGUUCCAGCUUUGUAACAAUGAAAAAGUCUUUCUAAUGGAUCCUGCUCUUGCAGACAUGUCUGUUGCUGAGAUGGACUAUAAAGGAGCCUUUUCGAUGGGUCAAACACUGUAUGGCAGAGUGCUGUGGAAUCCCGAGCAGAACUUGAAUAGGGCCUACAAGCUGCAGCUGGAGAAAGUAUAUUUGUGUACAGGGCGGGAUGGCUAUGUACCCUUCUUCGACCCCACAGGCACCCUGUAUAACGAAGGCCCUCAGUAUGGCUGCAUUCAACCGAACAAGCACCUCAAACACAGGUUCCUGCUUCUGGACCGGAAGCAGCCUGAUGUCUGUGACCGCUUCUUCCAUGAUGUUCCAUUUGAAGCCAACUUUGCAUCCGACAUUCCUGAUCUCCAGUCCUUGUCUGCGAUGCCAGGUGUAGAUGGUUUCACAAUGAAGGUGGAUGCCCUUUAUAAGGUUGAAGCAGGGCACCAGUGGUACCUCCAGGUCAUCUACGUUAUUGGACCGGAGUCCAUAUCUGCUCCCAGAAUCCAGCGUUCAGUGACCUAUGAGCUCAAGCGAAGUCGCCGAGAUCUGGUGGACCACUCAGGUCGUCUAAUGCUGGAUGAAUCCCUAAUCUACGACAAUGAAGGUGACCAGGUAAAGAAUGGCACCAACAUGAAGACCUUGAAGCUUGAGGUGGAACCAUCGGGCACCUUUAAUCCCCAGUUGGGAGGAUCCAUUGGUGGUGGCAUGGCAGCCAUCGUCCUACUUCUCCUGGUCCUUCUAGCCUUCUGCUUCAUGGUCAGAAAGUGCCGUAGGGUUGUACAAAAGAGGCCUACGAAGGCAGUGGAGGAUUAUCCUCUGAACACAAAGGUGGAGGUCUGUAUAGAACGUCUGGAGAAAAACCUCAACAGCAAGCACUGCUCUGUAAGAAAUGUCAAUGUCCUUAACAAGAACCCAGAGACCUACAAGAUCAAUGGGGUCAAGGUCAAACAGGUCAAUUUGGAGGUCAAACUACACAACAAUCUGAAUGACGGCACUGAAGUCUGA